rnacentral:lncRNA from 1 species
ACUCCCUGGACUCUCCAAGGAUUGGCCUCUCCUCUGCUGUCCUGGCUUCACCCUCUACCUGCUUCCCGGCGCCGUCAACGAGUCUGCCUCCAGUGUUGGUGAGAUUAGUGUUUCUCUGGCCGUCACUCGCUCUGGAGGGAGAGUCAUGCUUUUAAAGGAGCCGUAGGUAAGGCUGAUGUUUGGUCUGCAGCUCACAACGCCUACCCUAAGCAUAACACCAGCCAUUGGGAGAUCUACCUACUGAAAAGGUCAAUGAGGCCAUUAAUGCUAAACCGGACCAAAGAAGCUACUUCCGGAUGAAGUGUUAUAAUUGGGGAAAACGGUCGUGUGAGGUCUUAAGUGUCCACAAAAUCUCACAGCCUUUAAAGAACCACAGGACAAAUACAAGGUAGGGUUUUGUAUGGAUGAGCGGUCUCUCCCAGAUUAUGCAGUUGCCGGCAUGAUCAAUGGCUCCUGGGCUACUACUAGUCAGACACCGGCUGCAACUGCGUGAUCGUCUCUGAGAAGGCAGUGCCUGAUGCUGGCGUCUCGGCGACAUAAGAAUUGCAACCCUUGGACGUGACUCCAAAGUUAACACCGGUGAAGAGGAGCGGACAAAGGACGGCACUACUUUUGUUACCUUCGUUGUACUGGACUUCUCUACUGGAAGUGUUUGACCUCGAAACAUCCAGCAAAGGUUAGUAAGCUCACUCUUGUUCCUAAGGAUUGUCGACCAAUAAUCCUGUCUGUUGGCCGUGAAAACCCUUUAGCAGGUCAUUUCUCUCGCAGAAAGACCUUGAAGGUAUCCAGCCACUUCCUGGGAUGGGCGCGGAUAUUAGACUUCUGUCGAUCCUGUGGCGUCUGUCAACGAUUGUCUGCCAAAGGAGUCUGACCAGCACCUCUCCAUCCUCUUCCAAUUAUAACAGAACCUUUUCCCAGAGUGGCAGUAGAUUUGGUUGGACCACUGUCUCCCCAUCCUCAGAAGGCCACGGGUACAUCCUCAUUUUAAUCGACUGCCACUGGAUUCCCAGAAGCCGUGCCACUGAAGGAAAUAGACUCCAUCUUCGUUGCUGAGGCCUUACUAUCCAUCUUCGCUAGAGUCUGUAUACCACGAGGAAUUCUCACUGAUUAAGUUGUUAGGGACUCCUUUAUUUAGGACUCCAUUUCAUCCUGGCACUAAUGGUCGCAUUGAACGUCUACAUGCACCACUUAAAACUUCCCUACGAAAGCUCUGUAAGGACCGCCCUCGAGAGUGGCACAGAUACUUGAUUCCUACAUUAUUCGCCCUCAAGAGAUAUCCAGCGAUAGAACCGGUUUCUCCGCCUUCCAACCUCUCUAUGGAAGGACUGUUUGGGACCUCCUCCGCCCUUGGAAGUCUAUGGGAGGACCGGAACCUGAAGGACGACGACCGAUCCGGUUUCCGCUACGUGGUAGAGCUACAGGAGAAGCUAGCAGAGACCGCGCAGAUCGCCACUAACAAUGCAGACAUCAGUGCCUCGAAAUAUAAGACCUACUUUGACAUCAAAGUGAAGAUACAGUUUCAACCUGGCGAUGAAGUCCUUCCCAGCGAUUCCAGCAAGCUUUAGAGCGACAAGGUAAGGGUGAUUGAUUACCUAAUUGAUUGUCCCCAAGGUCCGAAAUUGUACCACGUCAACCUCUUAAGACGUUACAUCCGUCGUGCUAGUGCCAGCUUUGCCGAA